rnacentral:rRNA from 1 species
CCUACGGGAGGCAGCAGUGGGGAAUAUUGCACAAUGGGGGAAACCCUGAUGCAGCGACGCCGCGUGAGUGAAGAAGUAUUUCGGUAUGUAAAGCUCUAUCAGCAGGGAAGAAAAUGACGGUACCUGAUUAAGAGGCGCCGGCUAACUACGUGCCAGCGGCCGCGGUAAUACGUAGGGGGCAGGCGUUAUCCGGAUUUAAUGGGUGUAAAGGGAUCGUAGACGGCAGCGAAAGUCUGAAGGGAAAUGCCGGGGCUAAACCCCGGAACGGCUUUGGAAACUGUGAAGCGAGAGGGCAGGAGGGGGAAGGGGAAUUCCUAGUGUAGCGGUGAAAUGGGUAGAUAUUAGGAGGAACACCAGGGGCGAAGGCGGUUUACGGGACUGUAACUGACGUUGAGGUUCGAAAGCGUGGGGAGCAAACAGGAUUAGAUACCCCAUAGUC